rnacentral:rRNA from 1 species
GACGAACGCUGGCGGCGUGCUUAACACAUGCAAGUCGAACGGAAAGGCCCCUUUGGGGGUACUCGAGUGGCGAACGGGUGAGUAACACGUGAGUAACCUGCCCUUGACUUCGGGAUAACUUCAGGAAACUGGGGCUAAUACCGGAUAGGAAUCCUUGCUGCAUGGUGGGGGUUGGAAAGCUUCGGCGGUUUUGGAUGGAUUCGCGGCUUAUCAGCUUGUUGGUGGGGUAGUGGCUUACCAAGGCUUUGACGGGUAGCCGGCCUGAGAGGGCGACCGGCCACAUUGGGACUGAGAUACGGCCCAGACUCCUACGGGAGGCAGCAGUGGGGAAUAUUGCACAAUGGGCGGAAGUCUGAUGCAGCAACGCCGCGUGCGGGAUGACGGCCUUCGGGUUGUAAACCGCUUUCAGCAGGGGCGAAGCUUGUGGUGACGGUACCUGCAGAAGAAGCACCGGCUAACUACGUG